rnacentral:misc_RNA from 1 species
AAAAAAUGAUAUCAAAUGAGAUUUAUGAUAUUAAAUAAGGAUAGUACAAUAAAAUACUUGGUCAAACUAGCUUACAAGCUCAACCUAUAAGCUCAAAAAUUAUUCUAAGUAAGUAGGUCAAGCUAUUUUUAAAGUUGGUUUGCUCAGCUUAUAUGCUAAGACAAAUUACAAAUCCUGUAUUUGUAUUGAAACUUUGUCUUUGAUUUCUUAAAUGUCUAAAGCUCAAUGAAUCUUGGAGAAUUCAAUUGAUACUUUGUUGUCCACAAAAUAUUAUAGAAACUGAAGUCUACUAUUAUGAAAUGUUUAAUGUUAGUUUUGAUUUUAUUUUGCUACUCUCAAAGUUAUAAUAUAAUGGUUUGGAGUCUUGUUUUGAUGAUUCAUGAUCUUGAAAAUUUGCGAUAGGUCAUGGAUCCUACACCCUUACUAUGCUAUAUUAAAUAUAUAAGUUGGUGUUGGUAUUGACCCUUGCUUGUUAAAUUUUGACCUUUAGUAACAAGCCAUAACUUGAUUUCCUCGUUUUGUAUCUUAAUAACCUUCUACUUUCACCAAUAUCUGAGAGUAGCCUCUGAAUUGAUAUAUUCUUGACAUUCUGCAUUGCAUUGUAAGCAUAGGUAGAUGUCAUAGGUUAUUUGUAUUUGCUAUAUACCUUAUAAAAAAUCCUUCUCUGUGCUUUAUUUCACCUUGUUUCUUUAUUCCAAUCCUUCUACUUCCUUUUUUUUUUCUCUUCAAAUACUUAAAUCAUCUUCUUUUCCCAAUUAUUUUCUAUUAGAGCACUUCCUUCUCAAAAUUAAUGUGUAACUGAUAUCUCUUUAUCUCCAUCUUAUACCAAAGCAUAUUUGUUUGGGAGUUCCCAUAAAUCUUUUCUUCUUUGAAAAAAUUGUAGAUUUGCUAGAUACAAGUGAUGUGUGACUAAUGCGAAUUUCCAUAUUCCCAUAGAUUUUAAGUUCUACUUCACUCAUAAAUGGGUAUUUUAUGUUCAAUGUCAUCAAAGAUGUUUUGAUUGGUACAUUUUACAUUAUUCACAUUGUAUCAAGCACAUUGGCAUGAAUUUAGUAUUUUUGGUUGUUACAUCAUUAACCUCUGAAGACAUUCUGAAUUGCUGAUGUGCCCUUGUUUGCAGUGUUGUUUGGCUUGCUUAAGAA